rnacentral:lncRNA from 1 species
UUCUCCUGUAUCGCGGACAGAGUCUCCCCUAUACAUUCAAGACGUCGCAAUCAAUACAAAGCAAUACAGGAGGUUCCAACCAGGAACAAUAUUCAAUCAAAGAUUACAUAAGGGAGUAUCAUAAACAUAAAUAAAACUAAGCUAUUACAAUCAUUCAACUCACAUAUAUUUACAUAUUACAUCUUGCAUUCUUUUUGCUUCCAAAUACAAUCUGGCUUUAACAAUAUUAUUACAACUUGAUUCUUUUCAUUUUCUUACAUC